AAUUCUCAAUCUUUUAAUGCUUUAUGGUAUUGAAAGUAUUGGAUGUGGAGGUUUAUUGCUGGCUUUAUUUAUAAAGUUGGCUCCUCUUAAAUGCAUUAGUGGCUUCUUUGAAGGAUCCCCAUAUAAUGGUGUGAUAGUAUAUCAACAUCAUAUAAUGGCUAGGUCAUGUAAAAAAUAAAGGAGUUGCUUUCUAACUGUCUUUUUUGACAAUUUGAACC
rnacentral:misc_RNA from 1 species